AUUGAACGCUGGCGGCAGGCUUAACACAUGCAAGUCGAACGAGUGGCGGACGGGUGAGUAAUGCUUGGGAAACUGGCUUAUGGAGGGGGAUAACUACGGGAAACUGUAGCUAAUACCGCAUACCAUAGGAUGAGCCCAAGUGGGAUUAGCUAGUUGGUGGGGUAAUGUCCCACCAAGGCGACGCGCUCUAGCUGGUCUGAGAGGAUGACCAGCCACAGCGGGACGGAGACACGGCCCGGACUCCUACGGGAGGAAGCAGUGGGGAAUAUUGCGCAAGGGGGGCAACCCUGACGCAGCCAUGCCGCGUGAAUGAAGAAGGCCUUCGGGUUGUAAAGUUCUUUCAGUGACGAGGCGUUACUCACAGAAGAAGCACCGGCUAACUCCGUGCCAGCAGCCGCGGUAAUAC
rnacentral:rRNA from 1 species